rnacentral:rRNA from 1 species
UACGUAGGGGGCAAGCGUUGUCCGGAUUUAUUGGGCGUAAAGAGCUCGUAGGUGGUUCGGUAAGUCGGAUGUGAAAUCUCCAGGCUCAACCUGGAGGGGUCAUUCGAUACUGCCGUGACUAGAGUUCGGUAGGGGAGUGUGGAAUUCCUGGUGGAGCGGUGGAAUGCGCAGAUAUCAGGAAGAACACCCGUGGCGAAGGCGGCUCUCUGGGACGGUACUGACGCUGAGACGCGAAAGCGUGGGGAGCGAACAGG